UACGUCUUUAUAAAGUGCGAAUCUAAAAUGAAGAUCCACUAGGGGAGCAUCCAUCACUCUGGCAUCUUGCCUCCACAAGGCAACCUUGAAAGAUCUUGGAGCAGACGGGGUCUGAGAGUUUUUGGGCUUCAUCGGCCCAGGUCGCAGGAUUGUCAAACUUCUUAUCGGACUGCACGGGAAGCGGUUCUAAUGGUGAACGCACAGAAUGUUUAACUAGGCUAUGACUGUUAAAAUACAUCGUGAUUCGCUACGUUGGUUUAGGCUUCAAGGUCAGGUUUAUGCAGUAAGGGAAUUAAAUUUAAAGACAUUUCAAUUGAAACUUAACGACUUUUUCCCCUUCUUUUCAGGAAAGUGCAGUAUCUUAUUUUCAGGAAACGAAUGACAGACAAGUGCAACAGUAAAACUUUAAACAGUAUGAAUUAACACUGACAUUUCUUAAUGCUUUGGCUCUUAUUAAAGAGCUAAGAAGAGGCUGUUCAAAUGCCACUGGAAGUUACUUUCUAGCUUUUAUUUCUUUCUUUACAGAUAUAGGCACCGAUCAUGUCUGCUUGUCAGAAGCUGAGCGGCACUGUGUUUGUUUCUAGAGUAGACAGGUGGCUCCAGUGUAAGGCGGUUGCACUUCUUGCCCCUACCUAAUAUGUUCCAUGUGGGAACCCCAAUAAGAAGUCCCAUCCCAAUAUGCAUAAUUGCCCCCACAUUUGGUAAUUGUCAUUUUUAUUGCCAAUUUUGAAAAAUUCAGGAAAGGUUUAGCAGGCCUCAUAAAAUGACCCGGAGGGCCAGAUCUUGCUCGGGGGCCUUGAGUUGGGAUACCUGUGGCCUAGACCUAUACCCAGCGUGAAUGGCACCCUGUGCGAGAUCCCUUGAGGACCCACCACCACCAUCAUAGCUUCCUCAUCAUCAUCAUCAUCGCUGUGAUGCACUUAAGUGUUAGACUUACCCUUUGACAGAGGAUCAGCGGUAAUGUUCCUCUUCAAUCUAGCACGCGGGGCAGACAUCGGUAACAUGAGCCCUGUACAGAAGAACAACUGAGUCUUCCACCUGUCAUCUCCUGCAUGGCCAAAGCAUCGCUGCCACAACCUUCACAGCCCAGCUUUGAUUCAUACAGGGACUCACCUGUGCUCCGUCUGCUGUUACACUCUCUGUGUUACCGCCGCCUCUUGUCAUGGUUAUCUCAUACACAGAUCUGCAGAGAGGCAUUGGAGGCAAAACUUGGAGGACCCAAGUGCAAGGAAGCAGGGAGGCAAGGCAGGAGUGAGAUAUAUCAAAAAUAUUUGAAUUUUCAAAAAAAAGUCAAACAAGGAUCAAGGAGGUUAUGUUAAAUCAACAAAAGUCCAAACAUCUCAAUAAAGAGUAACAAAUAAACACUAGGAAACAAAGAAAACAAGACAGCGCUAGAAAUAUAACUAACAACUUCAACAUAUGACAGUGACAAUGACAAUGAAUUGACAACAACUGAAAGAAACCAGGGAACUAAAUACACACAAAUUGAUGAGACAACGAGGAACACCUGGACAAGACACAAGUGGGUGGAGGGAGCUGAUUGGUCGACACAAGGUAGACGAGUACAGGUGGACACAAUAACUAAAUGAGCACACAAGACAUGAAAAACAUUGGAAACAGGAAAACAUGAAACAAAACACAACCCAAACCAAAACACAGCUCGUGAGACAGCUCUUAAAUUCACUAAAACUGCACUAAACCUGCAGUCUUUGACAUUGUCAAAAAAAAGUAAACCUUAUAAAAAUCGGUUAAGCAAUGAGUUAAUUCUUAAUUUCAGUGUCCAUGCAUUGCCUUUGAUGGGAACGCUGACCUCCUUAACAUGGCCGCCACAUAAGCACGUCGGUUAGCUGGGCUGUUAAUGUGCCCUGGCGUAUCUAGACUUCAUAUUUAUGGUCAGAAUAAUUAAAUACUCUCCGAUUAAAUGGCAGAACCUCAAAUAAACCUCCCUGUUGCCAUUCAUGUAACAGAAUAAGUCACAAGAUUUCCUGCUAGUAUAUUGACUUUGUUCAAUAAACAGGCUAGAUUCCACACUAUAAUUACAUUUGUGAGACAUUUAUGUUGGGUGACGUACCGUGAGAUUUUUCUAAUAUAAAAUGGGUGCCUUGGCGCAAUAAAGGUUGGGAAACACUACAUUAAAUUUUAUUUAUUUAUCCAUUUUGAAUACAAACGUAUUCACUGUGAACCCAUGUAUCUGUGUCUCAAUGACAACAUAAUAGCCGUUGCUGUUACGCCUUCUCCUUUACAUUAACAGCAAGAUAGCUACAUGAAAUCUAAUUAAAUGUCUUAGUAUGACACUUGCAAAUUUACUGUGUGAGGCACAGACAACGCUCUCUUCAUUUUGCAAAGUGCCCCACAGAUCCCAGCCCAAUGAACCAGAGAGGCAAAGAGCAUACACCUUGAUUAUUGUUAAGUCGUCCUUAAAGAUGUAUGGCAUGGUAAUGUAAUUGUCUCUAAUAGCCCAGAAGGGAAGUUAGAGACAGGGACAAGAAAAUUCAGUUUAAAUGUUGUCUGGGUGAUGAGAAAGGUUAAGUGUGUGCGCUGUAAAGUUCAUGAAGGAAAUGUAAUCAAUCUAGCCAGCCAUGGCAAGAGUGCCUGUUGGCAGUGGAGGCAUAGCAUGACCCCUGUGCUGCCCUGAUGAAUAAUGUGUGUGAGUUGUAACGUGCACGACAUUGGUCCUUGGAACCUGAGGAGUGUUUGGGUUUCCCAAGAACACUAGUGAAUGAUGACAAGGUGACUAGGGGAGAAAGGAGGAGAGGGAAGCAUGCCAACCAGAUAUGGAGAGCGAGCCAAGUGUCUGCUGUCACUUCAAUACUGACAACACCUCAGGGAGGAUUUUUUUUUUUUGCUGACACCAUCAGCGUUAUAAUAUGAAUGCAAUGCUCUGUUUGCAUGUACACAGUUAUAGGGAAAAAAAUAUUUUAUGCAAAUGUAGCUUUUUCCCUAUAAUCUUUGGCCUAAAUGAACAUUACUCUAGUAGUAGUCGCCACUAGGUGUUGUUUGUGUGAUGUUAAUGAGACCAAGUUGCUAAAAAGCAAUAGUAUUGUUAUUUCAGUAAGUCUAAUACAACAAAACCUCACAAUGGUAUUUAAUUUUAUGAUACAGGUUUAACGCUUCACUGUUGGGUGCAGGCUCUAGGGUGUUUAAUACAGUGGCUGGGAAGUGCAAAACAAUCUAACAAAUUGUGAAACACUUUUGCAUUUUUUCAAAACAAAUUCAUAAAAGCCGAAACAAAUUAACAAAAGCCGAAGCAAAUUACAAGUGACAUAAACCGAAAAGGGAAUGUACCAUAUCACAGAUUGAUGCGUUAUUAGAAUCCCACGCCCGUUCCUGGCAAGACGUGCCCCGCUUCAACAUGAUUGGCUGCUGCAUCGCAGGGAGGGUAGGCUACGCAGAUAUAACGAGAAGACCAUCCCAAAUAUGUAUCACUUUUGUACAAAAUAAAAAAACAAAUAUGUUUAUGAUGGUUAGAUUUGGGACUAGGAUUAGGGUUAAGGCAGUUUAAAAUGGGUUAAGGUUAAGGCUGCCGCACACCGAGCGACGCCAUCGAACCUGACUGAACUAUGGAGCAGUCCACUCAUGGGAACUGUUACCAAACCACGCGCGUUUGGUAACAGUUCCCAUGAGUGGACGAUCGGUCGGCCACUGGUUUUGCCGCGAUUCAAAAUUUUAAUCUCUGUUGCACGCCGUUUUAACGUCGCAGUUUAUGUGGCAGCAUAGAGAACUGCGCUUCUCUAUGCUCAGGGCCAAGCCUAAUUGACAUCACAUGUAGCCAAUUAUGAGGUGCACAGGGAUAAAAGGAGUGACUUCCCCCUUGCACAUUCUCUUUGGAUCCCCGACCAUUAAUUCCCUCUCCGUGCCAGAAGCUCGCUUCACUCAGGUAACACGGUUGGUCGGCGCACCUGCUGCUUGGUUUAGCUUGCGACUGGGGAUUAAGAAUUUAAUAUUGCACCGCAAAAUGACUGAACUUUCAUAUAGUGCCCUGCAGUUCCAUUAUUGGAACCGGGACGGCGCUGUGUGUCCUCUCUCUCUCCCCUCUCCUCUCUGUUUUCAGCACCUGUCUUCAAUCGGCCUCAUCACCACCGGUGUAUAUAAGCCUGCCUGUUCCCGGAAAUCCUCGCCUAAGUACUGCGGUCUCUCCUAGCGUGCUCCCCUGUGUUCCUGACCCACAUCAUUCUUGCCACCAAGCCAGCCGCCUGUCCUGUCCACUGCCUGCCACCUGUCCACGCCGCCGCCUGCCAACACAUCCAGGACCACCUCCAUAACCUUUCCUCAAUAAACUGUUCAUCAUUUUACAUCUGUCUCCGCCUGCUCUUGGGUCCAGCUACUCCCCACACAUGACAUGAACUGUGUUUUGUUCGUUUUCGGAAAUGUACAUUUUUUUUUUUAUUUUGUUAAUUUGUUUUCUGAAAUGUGUUUUGUUUUUUGUUCAUUUGUUUAUCUGACGUAAAUGUGUUUUGUUUUAAUCUGUUUUUCUGAAAUGUAAAAGUUUUGGCUUUUGUUAAUUUGUUUUCUGAAAUCUAGAUUUCUUUCGUGUCUUGUUCAUUUGUUUUCUGAACUGUAAAUUUGUUUCAACAUUUAAUUUGUUUUCUGAAAUGUAAUAAUGUCUAACAAAUGUUAAUGUUUUGCACUUCCCAGCCACUGUAGUUGAAGGUCUUAAACAGAUUUUUUAAAUCCAUAUGAAAAGCCAAUUCUCAAUCUUGAAACAUGACUUUUCUCAGCUGAAAUGCAAAAUAUUGGAGUUUUUUGGAUGAAAUAUCACAGACAAAGAAACAAGAAUGUCAUGGCAUCAGCAGAUCAUAGCACUUACUCAGCAUCCAAUCAAAUUGUGGUCAUGUUAUCCCAUGUGCAUGGUAUCUGGGGAUUGCUAUGAUCUGCCGUCAGAUACUAUACAGCCUUAUAGUCCUCAAAUCACACUUUGUACAUCGGUGAGUUGAGAUUAGUUUAUAUAGCCGGUUAAGAGCCAGUGGGUGGCAAUUUAAAUCAUAGCUGACAAGGAUAUCCUGUAUGUGUACAACAAUACAUCAUUUAGACCAGCGUAAUAACAGUGAAUGGCUGCAUAGGUAUGAUGUGUUUUCUGAGCUCCCUUAGCGUGCCUCAGUGAGCUGAUACAUUAUACAUUAUGCACUGCAUUGUCCAAGGGCUGAGGAUUCACUGUCCAAAGGAGCAGCCAGUGGUGUGUCUUCACAUAAAUUUGCUUUCCUGCUUGUCCCUUGUUGUUCUUGUUGUUCCUUGACUAAACACACUGCCCCUGGCUCAUUUCAGCCCGGAUAACCUGCCUCGCAUCCUAAUGAAACAAACUGUCACCUGUCUUCUGGUAGACACUAUCACACCCUUAGGACUGUAAACCUGUGCCAAGUACAUACACAAGUGUUCUUCCAGGCCAUUAUUCUUUAGUUACAACAUUUGUUGUCAGGACUUGCUUAUCAACUUCCUUCCACAGUCUAAACUAACCAAUGUAUGCAAAUCUAAGGUCACUCUCUAUAUACAGCAGAUUGAUAGGUUUUAAGUCCCUAUGUUCAGUGGCAUUGAUAUAUGAGAAUAAAAUAGUAGCGCAUCAGCCACUUAGAUUUUCAUUUAAGUGGCCAAUAAUGAUUUAGUACCGAGAUCAUUUUUUUUCCUCUUUAUGUACAUCAUGAACCCUUAGCAGAUAUCACUGUUUACAUUUACGACAUGCUCAAAGUGGGAGUAAACAACUACAUGAUUAUUAGCUUCAAAGGAACAACAAUGAGUAAUGCAAAUAUAUAUUCCAUGUACACUACAAUAUGAGCACUACAUUAUUAU